UUCUUUCACUGGAACCAGUGAAGUAAACUGAAAAAAGGUUAACAGGAGAAAAGGAAUACAAAUUUUAUUUGAUAUUACUAUUAUAAUUUGUAUGUGCACAGAGGCCUUCGUAAAAAUGAAGUGAAGACCCAGAGAAGUGGUUGAGUGUGGGGGCUUACAUACUAUUUUAACAAAGGAUGAUAAAUUGUCUCACAAGACAAAGGAAAAGGGAUUUGGGCUUCCAGAGGCGGUAAAUUGUGGGAAGGUAAGUGUAUGGGAGACUCAUGGAAGAGAAGGUUUGUGUAAGAGGGUUUAGUUUCUGUAUCCUCACCUUCCCCCUCUCCCGCCCUGAGAAGUGUUGUUCUUCCCUUUCAGCUAAGAGAGGAGGGGGCAGCUUCGCAAGGGAAGGGAAGGUUUUAGGCAGAUGGAGGAUGGGCAGAGAGCUCUUCCUGUGUCUGAUUCUUUUCAAUUGCCAUCAGUGCAAAAUAAUCCUUAUGCCAAAGUAGCAUAUUUGGGGGUGGCAUAUUCUGAUCCCUUUCUGUGUUUGGUAGAAUUUGGUUGUGCUAGAGACAGGUCGUUACCGUCUCCAGCAUCCAUCCUCUCCCUCUUACAGUGGGUGCAUGGCUGCCUGGACUAAAGACAGCAUCUUGCAGUCUCUUUGCAGCAAGGGGCAGCCAUGUGUAAAAGUAGGCUGGCUUCCUGAGGGCUUCUGGGCGCAGACACACCAGCUCUAGACUGCGGACCUGGGCUCUUCUGAGAUGGAGGGAGAACCUUCUAUCUCGUUCAUGCUGUUGUAAUUUUGGUGUUUUGUUUCUUACUUGCAGGCAAACCUAAUCGUAACAGCUCCUGGACUUGGAUUUUGCUUGCAAAGGAUGUUCCUUUACGUUCCUAAAGGACCUCAUGGUUUACAACCAGAGCCAAUUUGGAUUGAACCGUUUUUCUCUAUUGGUGACUUCUGGAUUCACACAACAUUUUAUUCAGUUCUGCAGCCACUCGGCUUUGAUUGCGCAGUCAGUAAUCUGCCUUCAAUUUUCUUCUGUCAGUAAACUACCUCUCUGGAACAACUGCCUGGCAAACAAAUUGGGUCACAAUAUGCUUAUCUGUAAAGCUGACAGCACAUUGCAUCCUCCAUGCCACGUUACACAGAUCAACCGUGUCAGAGCCCCAAUGUUAUCAUGUGACUGUUGUUCUUACUUCUUAAUUUAGCAAGAAAUGGCUUAAUUUCCCAUGAGUGAGUUUAACCCUUGAGUGAAACUUUGCCACAUUUAAAAAUGAGGCAAAGUGCAGUGGCAGAAAGGCAGAUUGUUCGUUCACCACUGUUCUCUCCUGAAAUAUUUAGCAGAACCAUUUAACGCCAAGCAGUCUAGGAAAUUUUUUCACACCUCCCUGACAGCUCAUGGGCUCUGACUGACUUCCUCACAGAGCACUCACUGAAUAAAUAGCAUUUUAACCAGUCCAGUGCUGAUGGGGAGGAAGACUGGAACCUGUGAAUAUCUCUUUUGUUUUUUGGAAGUGCCGCUGUAAGGGCAAGAGUCCAUGCUCUGCCUUCAAUCUAAAAUAACCCAUUGAAAUGUUAAUCUUUAAAUUGAGAAUAUAUAUCACUUAUCAUGAUGUUUUCUUCUGGGUUCAACCACAUGGACUUCCCCUCCCCAAAGCCGACCUGGCUGAGUGCCUGCCUUGGCAACAGCAGAGACAGUCACUGAACCUUCAAUAGAGCAUCAUUCGCCUGCGGACCAGCCGGCCACUUGGUGGCUAGACUAUUACAUUGGACCUCUUCCAGCAUGGAGUGGGAAGAGAUUUGUCUUCUUUGGAUUAGUUCUGUCCACCCCUUCGGCUGGCUGCCUAGCUGGUCUUGGCCGCAAGUGGUGCCCAAUGUGGGGCACGAAGGAAGAGCCGCCAAAGAGCGACGGUGGAGUUUCAGCGGUGCGGAAGCUGGAAGCGGUGUGAGGCCUCAAAAGAUUCCCCGUGUCGACACAUCGUACAUCAAUUCCAACCUGGGGACAAAUAAAUAAAUUGGCUCAACAAGCAGAGAAGGUGUUUGAACAAGAAAAGAAACCCGUCACUCCAAAUAACUUGGCUCUGGCGAUGUUCGCCCUGGUGUUGGUGGCCUCCUCAGAUACACGAGAAAAACCUUCUGAGACCUGACUAAGAGAGAAGCUGCCCGGAUCGCCUACCUCCUCUUACAAAAACAAAAAGGGGGAAAUGCUGCAGGAGAUUAUAGCAGCAUUCUUGCUAGGCUUUAAGCCUAAGGAAAAAGAAAUUCCAAAUGGGUGACUGGGGGGGUAUGUGAUCUGCUGAUCCUCAUAAUCAUUAUACCAGAUUGCUUGUGCUUUGGACUCUCAGGCCAGAGGGGAAUAUGUUAUUGGGAAUGAAGGCAAGGGACUUAGGAACGCCUGGCCCUUGCAGGAACAGAACGCUGCCUGCAUACCUUGCUGAUUGUCCUUAAGAUACUCCCCAAGGGAAUGACCUGGGAUGGUCUGGUGUGCUUCAGGGGAUGAAGAAUAGAACCUUUGGACUCUGGCCUGCGUGUCCCUGCAGGCAUGAGUUUCUGCUAUUGUGAUUGCUUGUGAUUCUUUACCCGAAAAUAAAUAUGUGGCGAACCGAGGGACCUCACCUCAGUCCUUGAGGCUGAUGGUCCCCUGUCCCAUUGAAUAAUA